rnacentral:rRNA from 1 species
UACGAAGGGGGCUAGCGUUGUUCGGAAUCACUGGGCGUAAAGCGUACGUAGGCGGACCAUUAAGUCGGGGGUGAAAUCCCAGGGCUCAACCCUGGAACUGCCUUCGAUACUGGUGGUCUGGAGUCCGGGAGAGGUGAGUGGAACUCCUAGUGUAGAGGUGAAAUUCGUAGAUAUUAGGAAGAACACCAGUGGCGAAGGCGGCUCACUGGCCCGGUACUGACGCUGAGGUACGAAAGCGUGGGGAG